GCGUGCGCUGAGGCGCUGCUGAGCGCUGACUGGGUGCGAGCGGGGAAGCUGCUAACCUGACCCGGAUUGGCGCUGAGGUGGCCUGUGGGGCAGGGCAGAUGAUUCUGGACCAGAUGAAGCCUGAGGAGCCUUCCAGCUCUAAGAUAGCAGGAUAGGAGACUUCUAAGCCUGGAACUGCAGAAGACUUGCCAGCCCCCCAGCACAAUGUCAGGAAGCCAUACACCUUCUGCCUGUGGCCCUUUCUCAGCCCUGACUCCGAGCAUAUGGCCCCAGGAGAUCCUGGCCACGUAUACACAGAAGGAAGAGUCAGCAGAGCAACCAGAUUUCUACUACGAUGAGUUUGGUUUCCGUGUGUACAAGGAAGAAGGUGGUGAGCCUGGCUCCAGUCUGCUGGCGAGCUCCCCUCUGCUGGAGGAUGCUCCACAGAGGCUGCGGUGGCAGGCCCACCUGGAGUUCACCCAUAACCACGACGUGGGGGAUCUCACCUGGGACAAGAUUGCAGUCUCUCUACCCCGCUCUGAGAAGCUCCGCUCCCUGGUGCUGGCCGGCAUCCCACAUGGCAUGAGGCCACAGCUAUGGAUGCGGCUCUCCGGGGCUCUGCAGAAGAAGAGGAGCUCUGAGCUGUCCUACCGCGAGAUUGUGAAGAACAGCUCCAACGAUGAGACCCUUGCUGCCAAGCAGAUCGAGAAGGACCUGCUGCGCACCAUGCCCAGCAACGCUUGCUUCGCCAGCAUGGGCAGCAUCGGGGUGCCCCGCCUGCGCAGGGUGCUCCGGGCCCUGGCCUGGCUCUACCCAGAGAUCGGCUACUGCCAGGGCACUGGUAUGGUGGCCGCCUGCCUCCUGCUGUUCCUGGAGGAGGAGGACACCUUCUGGAUGAUGUGCGCCAUCAUCGAGGACCUGCUCCCCGCCUCCUACUUCAGCACCACCCUGCUGGGCGUCCAGACUGACCAGCGGGUCCUGCGCCACCUCAUUGUCCAGUACCUGCCUCGCCUGGACAAGCUGCUCCAGGAGCAUGACAUAGAGCUGUCCCUGAUCACACUGCACUGGUUCCUCACGGCCUUCGCCAGCGUGGUGGACAUCAAGCUGCUUCUGCGCAUCUGGGACCUGUUUUUCUAUGAGGGCUCCCGGGUGCUGUUCCAACUCACACUGGGCAUGCUGCACCUCAAGGAAGAAGAGCUGAUCCAGUCAGAGAACUCAGCCUCCAUCUUCAACACGCUAUCGGAUAUCCCGUCGCAGAUGGAGGAUGUGGAGCUGCUUCUGGGGGUGGCCAUGCGGCUGGCCGGCUCCCUCACCGACGUGGCUGUGGAGACUCAGCGCCGCAAGCACCUGGCCUAUCUCAUUGCAGACCAGGGUCAGCUCCUGGGGACCGGCACCCUCACCAACCUCUCUCAGGUUGUUCGCCGCAGGACCCAGCGGAGGAAGUCUACCAUCACUGCUCUGCUCUUCGGAGAGGAUGACCUGGAGGCACUCAAGGCCAAGAACAUCAAGCAGACGGAACUGGUGGCUGACCUCCGGGAAGCCAUCCUGCGUGUGGCGCGUCACUUCCAGUGCGCAGACCCCAAAAACUGCAGCGUGGUGAGUGACCAGCUCCCUGGGCUGGUACCAAACAUGGCCCUAACUUCUCCAACCCCCUUGGUGGGCCUGUGUUCACUCUGGCAGGAGCUGACUCCAGACUACAGCAUGGAGAGCCACCAGCGGGACCACGAGAACUACGUGGCAUGUUCGCGCGGCCACCGGCGCCGAGCCAAGGCCCUGCUGGACUUUGAGCGGCACGAUGACGACGAGCUGGGCUUCCGCAAGAACGACAUCAUCACAAUCGUGUCUCAGAAGGACGAGCACUGCUGGGUGGGGGAGCUCAACGGCCUGCGAGGCUGGUUUCCAGCCAAGUUUGUGGAAGUCCUGGAUGAGCGCAGCAAAGAGUAUUCCAUCGCGGGGGACGACUCAGUGACGGAGGGAGUCACCGACCUCGUGCGAGGGACCCUCUGCCCGGCCCUUAAGGCCCUGUUCGAACAUGGGCUGAAGAAGCCAUCCCUGCUUGGGGGCGCCUGCCACCCCUGGCUGUUUAUAGAGGAGGCUGCAGGCCGGGAGGUCGAGAGAGAUUUUGCCUCCGUGUAUUCCCGCCUGGUGCUCUGUAAGACCUUCAGGAGCUUUGGUGCCCCCUCAGGUUGGACGAAGAUGGCAAGGUCCUGACCCCAGAGGAGCUGCUCUACCGGGCUGUGCAGUCCGUGAACGUGAGCCACGAUGCAGUGCACGCACAAAUGGACGUGAAGCUCCGCUCACUGAUCUGCGUGGGGCUGAAGUGAGUGUGGAAAAGGGGUUGGAGGAGAACCCUGGAGUAGGGGGGACCCAGCCCAGCAUCAGGAGGGUCCUUACAGGGGACCCUAAAGGACAAAGAACCUCAGGGGCUCAGGUCCUUCCCUGAAGAGGGUGGUCUGGGAGCUGCUGAGGGACGGGCUGGAGGCCUCUACCGUGGCUGCAGCCAGAAGGGCCUGGAGCCGCCCCUGCUCCCCACUCCUGGCCGUGUCCCCAGUGAGCAGGUGCUGCACCUGUGGCUGGAGGUGCUCUGCUCCAGCCUGCCCACCGUGGAGAAGUGGUACCAGCCCUGGUCCUUCCUGCGCAGCCCGGGCUGGGUCCAGAUCAAGUGUGAGCUCCGAGUCCUCUGCUGCUUUGCCUUCAGCCUCUCCCAGGACUGGGAACUCCCUGCGAAGAGAGAGGUGCAGCAGCCCCUGAAGGAGGGCGUCCGGGACAUGCUGGUGAAGCACCAUCUCUUCAGCUGGGAUGUGGAUGGGUGACCCCUCCUCCCCAGCCCAGCCUCGGGCCUGGGUCUGAGGUGGCCCAGGACCCCAAGCUGCAGAGCCCAGGGAAAAGCAGCUCCAGAGCCCUGGCCCCGGGAUAUCAGGCUGCCCCACUCUAGGUUCCCCAGCACAUCCCAUGUGGUGGCAGCAGAGGGUGCCCUGCCCUACCAGGGUCCUUAGAGAUGCUCUGGGCCAAACCACAGUUUGUACCAAAAGCCUUGUGAGGUGGUGGGGAGCCAUGUCUGUGCCAGUCUUUGCUCAGGAAGAGGGAAGGGGAUGGGGGUGACUAAUAAGCUCCCGUCCUCCUUGGUUUAUAAAUAAACUGUCUUUGAGAACGCACCUCCUGUCUUCUGUACAGCCAGGGCUGCAGAGCUGUCUUCAUGUCCAAGGCUCUGCCCUUCUUUGACUGGUCUAGAAGGCACUGCCUGGCCCCUCAGAUGCUGGGACACAACAGGCCCAGGACCCCCAGCUAUGCCACCCACCCCUUCCAUGGAUUGAGUAAGAUGCACUAACA